UUUGUUGUGUUUGAGCUCUGCCAGAAUACACUUCCCUGGAUCUAGAAAAAUCCCUGGAUUCUCUCACACAGAAGUUUUUCUCUUGCUAUUCUGCCAAGAUUAACAGCUUCACCUGCUCUCCCUUGGUUUGUUUGGAUGGGUCCAUUGGUUUUAAUUUUAAAUUUUUUUUUAUUGGCUCACUGUUGUGUCACAUUAGGCUCUGACAAUAGCAUUUUAGCAGACCGUUUGUAAUCUGCGACGUGACUGCUCAGGUUGGAGUCACAACAGCAGGGAGGCAUUUGUUGUGUUUUUAAAACUGGGACGUUGCUCGACAAGUAUUCAGCAUGAGAUAAAGC